UACGUAGGGUGCAAGCGUUGUCCGGAAUUAUUGGGCGUAAAGAGCUCGUAGGCGGUUUGUUGCGUCGGCUGUGAAAUCCCGAGGCUCAACCUCGGGUCUGCAGUCGAUACGAGCAAACUAGAGUGUUGCAGGGGAGACUGGAAUUCCUGGUGUAGCGGUGAAAUGCGCAGAUAUCAGGAGGAACACCGGUGGCGAAGGCGGGUCUCUGGGCAACAACUGACGCUGAGGAGCGAAAGCCAGGGGAGCGAACGGG
rnacentral:rRNA from 1 species